ensembl:lncRNA
UCCCUGAUGAGGAUGCAGCACCAACUUGAUUCUGCAGAUGAGCAAAGCUGCUGGUUGGGAUAACUGCUUGGGCACUGCAGUGAUGCAGUAUUUAUGUGAUUACUGUUCAUCAAAGUGCUGUCUGCACGUGGGCUAAAGGAGCUACGCUGGGCUUCAAGGAAAGGCUGCUCUUUGGAAAGCUAUAGCUGGAUACAGAUGCAAGGGAGGCAUCACAUCCUGGCUCUCCUACUCAUUCUCUCCUCCAUGGCCUCAGCUUAUCUUGAUCAUUGACUCGUUCCUUUUUGUGGUCUGCCUCCCUCAAUUGAAAGUGAAUGCCAUAAAAACAGAAACUUCAUCUCCUUAAUUUCUGACACUAUCCCCAACCCACAGAGAACAUAAGAAGGUGCCUAAUAAAUAUUUGUUUCAUCGAUGAGAGAAUAAUUUUACGGAAACUGUUUAAUCUCUCCGGUCAUUAAUUCUCAUCUGCAAAAUGAAGAAUCUGUGUCAAGAAAGGAUGAGAUGACAGCACAUGUGCAAAGCCAUUGACUGCCACACCUCGUGCAUGAUAGCUGCUCAACAAAUUGUUUGCUGAUAGAGGGUGGAAGUAGUGAUGGUGCUGACUGUCUGUCCUGGAGGGUGGAAGAGAGACACGUGAAAUCACAUCCUGAGGCAUACAAAGUAGCCGAAAUAAAUGAGUUGAAACUGAAAUAUAAGCCAAUGCGAAGUUGAUGGGCAAGUGGGAAGGUGAGGAACUAGAAAAUGAAUGGUAACAAAGAGCACAUUGGGAGGUGAUAUGGAGGGAUUCUGAAGAUGAGGCUUUUUGCACAAAAGUCUUAUCGUAAGUCGCACUGAGCAAGAGAAGCCCAUUUACAGUGGCCAGAGGGGAAUGACUGAGUAUGAAAUGGGCUCAAACUUUAAUCCAGUGACAGUCAUUAUUUUGGGCCAUGAAAUGCUAUUGCUCUUCAAAUAUGCUGUUCCUCAGUGAUCAAAAGAUGGCUGAUGUUUUGUAAAAUUAACUUACUAAUAGAAUACCUCCCUCACUGACAAAUUGGCAGAGUCUAAUCUUGAAAAUGGAAUUAAACAGGUGCUAACUCCACAAAAACCAUGCAUCAAUUGUCUGAGGCAUUUUAGUUUUGCACCUGUCUUCCACUGGUGCUGUAGGGUGAAUAGAAUUCUGGCCUUGGACUCACACAGACAUGAGCUCCAAUUCUGGUUCCACUAUCUACUCAUUGUGCAGCCCACAACAGAUUACUUACUCUCACUCAAACUCCAUUUUUCUGUUUGUAAAUGAAGCUAAUAAUGAGGUGCUGAGUUGCAAAAAUUAAAAUAAGAAAUGCUUGUAAAGCUGUUAUCCAUAUUGUCUUGUAAACAGAAAAUUGUAAGUUAAUAUUAGAUUUUCUUCCUAAUAAUGUUGUCUAUUAUUUUCCACACUAAACACCUGGCUCCUAGUCAUCAUAUUUUUUUAUUCAUGCUUUAUUUCAUUUUGGCCUUUGACAAAGUUCCUCCUCCAUCUGUGUAUACAACCAAUUUUUGAGUCCUUCAAAAUAAUUCCAAUAGGUAGUGGAGGAUGGUCCAGGAAGGGGUCAGCUAUGGACGAAAGAAAGGUGACCAGGCAUGGGAGAUCAUUGCACC